GGCGGACAUGCGAAAGUUCGCGCUGACGUCUAUUCCAACGUAGGAAGUGUUAUGAACAGCUGAUCGGAUCGGCAAAGCGUGUUUCUGGAAUAUUACGUUUUUGUUGCUGCAAGCGCUUUUUAUGCAGUUUUUGCAAAGCUAUAUGAGGAAGGAAACUGUGACCUAGGACAAGCUGAUGGCAUAAGAUAUGUCGUUGGUUGUGGUCUUCUUCUCCCUUCACGUCUUACUGGCUUCUGGAUUGAAAGAGCUCAGAGUGAGGCCUGGACAAGCUGCCACUCUUCAGUGUUGGGGUCCCAGAGAUGCACACAUCACCCUGCUGGAGUGGAGCAGACCUGAGCUCAUCUCACAGGGUUAUGUGUUCUUCUUCCAAGACCAGCGCUCAUACGAGAACUACCAGCACGAGUCCUUUAAACGCCGAGUGCAGCUGAGAGACUCAUCCAUGAUGGAUGGAGAUGUUACUGUGAUUGUGAGGAACGUCAGGGUCAGUGAUACGGGAAUAUACAAGUGUGAGAUUACAACCAGCAGCACCAGAAAUGACGAGAGAGUCGUCAGCGAGUUCAAGCACUCCAUCAACCUCACAGUCACAGACACAGGUUUCACAGAAGGAGAGUCCAAAGAAAGAGGACACAAGGAUGGAGGAGACAAGAAUCUAUCUUUUUUUAAUUUUGUGUUAAUUCUGUCAUGCGGACUCCUUGGUGUUAUGGUUAUUGUUACUGUAGCUGUAAAUAUCUACAGGAAAAAAAGUUUCUAAAGCUAUGUGUAUCAUCAUAGUAUCAUCUGUAUGUAGCAUUUCUCUUCUCUGAUCCUGUAAUCACAGUUACAACUUACAACAAUGUCAUGUUAGCAAGCAGACGAUACUAACAAAGUUGCUGUGGAUAUCAGAGUCACAAUAUUUUAUUAACACCUAAGAAAAUUAUAUUAGCACUAACCUCACAAAUGUGCUUCUGGAAGAAUGGUCAAAAUUCCCAACACACUCGUAAACCCUGAUAUGAAUAUCUAUCUAUCUAUCUAUCUAGCGUGGGAUAGACCCGCUCGCCUCGCAAGCAAUCGAGCUGUUAUUACCGUUGACAAAGCGCAGGUACACAGCUGCCAUAACCCCCACUGUACACUGACCUCAUUUACUGAGGUUAUAUUUACCGGGUUUUUAUUUCCUGAUGUUCGUAUGUGUCAUACCUGUUUCAGUCGCCAAAUCUGAAUUAUAACUAACAUUAAAAACAUGUUUAAGGAGGAGAGAGAGCAAAUAAAUCCGAUUAACAGCUGAUCUUUGGGUUUUUGUUCAGUAAUCAGCGUGACCUGUGUAUAAACGCAUAAAAGAGAAAACGUUGGUGUUUCCGUCAUGUAGUAACUGCUGGCUUUAACUGUACAAA
ensembl:lncRNA